GCCUGGCUAGCUCAGUUGGUAGAGCAUUAGGCUCUUGAUCUAAUGGCCCAGGGUUCAAACCCCUGCCUGAGCA